UAAGUGACAGUCCAUAGUCAUGAUCAUCUACCAGGACCUCAUCAGCUGUGAUGAGAUGGUCUCUGACAUCUACAAGAUCCUGGAGAUCAUGGAAAGGCUGUGCCUGGAAAUGGAGAGGAAGAUGGUCAAAUGCCUCUUAUACACAUAUGACGCU